rnacentral:misc_RNA from 1 species
UUUUAAAAAAAAAAAAGUAAAAAACUUGAUAUGAUUAAAUUAUUUUUAUGAACAAAAAAAUUUGUGUUGUUUUUAAGUGAUGAAUUUGCAUUAUUUGUUUUUAUUGGGCAUAUUUAAUUGGUUCUCCAUGUUAUUGUGAAUAUCAUUUUCCUUCAUCAAAUUUAGUUAUUUCCAAAAACUUUUUGCAUUCGGUUUAACUAUGAUGCCUAAUUAUAUGAUUGAUAUGUAUUUUGCCUUUUCACAAUCUUAUCUAUUUGUAUGGGGGGAACAAAAAUCUCUUCCUAUCCCCUCGACUUCUUACUGUACAUGAUAUAAUUUCAGCCCAAAAAAAAAGGAAAAAAAAAAUCAACAAGAAGCUCCAUCUUUAAUUAUAUUUUUAUCAGUUGUAUCCUUGGAAUGUUGGAUCAUUUACAGAAAAAUUAAUGGAGUUUGUGGAUACCUUGGAAAGGAGAAUGGUGAAUAUUGCUUGCAUUCAGGAUACUAAAUGGGUAGGAGAGAAAAG